GACGGAGGAUGCAAGUGUUAUCCGGAAUCACUGGGCGUAAAGCGUCUGUAGGUGGUUUGCUAAGUCUGCUGUUAAAGCUUGAAGCUCAACUUCAAAAAUGCAACAGAAACUAGUAGACUUGAGUGUGGUAGGGGCAGAGGGAAUUUCCAGUGAAGUGGUGAAAUGCGUAGAUAUUGGAAAGACCGCCAAAGGCGAAGGCACUCUGCUGGGCCAUAACUGACACUGAGAGACGAAAGCUAGGGGAGCAAAUGGG
rnacentral:rRNA from 1 species